rnacentral:rRNA from 1 species
AGCCCAGAGCCUGAAUCAGUGUGUGUGUUAGUGGAAGCGUCUGGAAAGGCGCGCGAUACAGGGUGACAGCCCCGUACACAAAAAUGCACAUAUUGUGAGCUCGAUGAGUAGGGCGGGACACGUGGUAUCCUGUCUGAAUAUGGGGGGACCAUCCUCCAAGGCUAAAUACUCCUGACUGACCGAUAGUGAACCAGUACCGUGAGGGAAAGGCGAAAAGAACCCCGGCGAGGGGAGUGAAAAAGAACCUGAAACCGUGUACGUACAAGCAGUGGGAGCACGCUUAGGCGUGUGACUGCGUACCUUUUGUAUAAUGGGUCAGCGACUUAUAUUCUGUAGCAAGGUUAACCGAAUAGGGGAGCCGAAGGGAAACCGAGUCUUAACUGGGCGUUAAGUUGCAGGGUAUAGACCCGAAACCCGGUGAUCUAGCCAUGGGCAGGUUGAAGGUUGGGUAACACUAACUGGAGGACCGAACCGACUAAUGUUGAAAAAUUAGCGGAUGACUUGUGGCUGGGGGUGAAAGGCCAAUCAAACCGGGAGAUAGCUGGUUCUCCCCGAAAGCUAUUUAGGUAGCGCCUCGUGAAUUCAUCUCCGGGGGUAGAGCACUGUUUCGGCAAGGGGGUCAUCCCGACUUACCAACCCGAUGCAAACUGCGAAUACCGGAGAAUGUUAUCACGGGAGACACACGGCGGGUGCUAACGUCCGUCGUGAAGAGGGAAACAACCCAGACCGCCAGCUAAGGUCCCAAAGUCAUGGUUAAGUGGGAAACGAUGUGGGAAGGCCCAGACAGCCAGGAUGUUGGCUUAGAAGCAGCCAUCAUUUAAAGAAAGCGUAAUAGCUCACUGGUCGAGUCGGCCUGCGCGGAAGAUGUAACGGGGCUAAACCAUGCACCGAAGCUGCGGCAGCGACGCUUAUGCGUUGUUGGGUAGGGGAGCGUUCUGUAAGCCUGCGAAGGUGUGCUGUGAGGCAUGCUGGAGGUAUCAGAAGUGCGAAUGCUGACAUAAGUAACGAUAAAGCGGGUGAAAAGCCCGCUCGCCGGAAGACCAAGGGUUCCUGUCCAACGUUAAUCGGGGCAGGGUGAGUCGACCCCUAAGGCGAGGCCGAAAGGCGUAGUCGAUGGGAAACAGGUUAAUAUUCCUGUACUUGGUGUUACUGCGAAGGGGGGACGGAGAAGGCUAUGUUGGCCGGGCGACGGUUGUCCCGGUUUAAGCGUGUAGGCUGGUUUUCCAGGCAAAUCCGGAAAAUCAAGGCUGAGGCGUGAUGACGAGGCACUACGGUGCUGAAGCAACAAAUGCCCUGCUUCCAGGAAAAGCCUCUAAGCAUCAGGUAACAUCAAAUCGUACCCCAAACCGACACAGGUGGUCAGGUAGAGAAUACCAAGGCGCUUGAGAGAACUCGGGUGAAGGAACUAGGCAAAAUGGUGCCGUAACUUCGGGAGAAGGCACGCUGAUAUGUAGGUGAAGUCCCUUGCGGAUGGAGCUGAAAUCAGUCGAAGAUACCAGCUGGCUGCAACUGUUUAUUAAAAACACAGCACUGUGCAAACACGAAAGUGGACGUAUACGGUGUGACGCCUGCCCGGUGCCGGAAGGUUAAUUGAUGGGGUCAGCGCAAGCGAAGCUCUUGAUCGAAGCCCCGGUAAACGGCGGCCGUAACUAUAACGGUCCUAAGGUAGCGAAAUUCCUUGUCGGGUAAGUUCCGACCUGCACGAAUGGCGUAAUGAUGGCCAGGCUGUCUCCACCCGAGACUCAGUGAAAUUGAACUCGCUGUGAAGAUGCAGUGUACCCGCGGCAAGACGGAAAGACCCCGUGAACCUUUACUAUAGCUUGACACUGAACAUUGAGCCUUGAUGUGUAGGAUAGGUGGGAGGCUUUGAAGUGUGGACGCCAGUCUGCAUGGAGCCGGCCUUGAAAUACCACCCUUUAAUGUUUGAUGUUCUAACGUGGACCCGUGAUCCGGGUUGCGGACAGUGUCUGGUGGGUAGUUUGACUGGGGCGGUCUCCUCCUAAAGAGUAACGGAGGAGCACGAAGGUUGGCUAAUCCUGGUCGGACAUCAGGAGGUUAGUGCAAUGGCAUAAGCCAGCUUGACUGCGAGCGUGACGGCGCGAGCAGGUGCGAAAGCAGGUCAUAGUGAUCCGGUGGUUCUGAAUGGAAGGGCCAUCGCUCAACGGAUAAAAGGUACUCCGGGGAUAACAGGCUGAUACCGCCCAAGAGUUCAUAUCGACGGCGGUGUUUGGCACCUCGAUGUCGGCUCAUCACAUCCUGGGGCUGAAGUAGGUCCCAAGGGUAUGGCUGUUCGCCAUUUAAAGUGGUACGCGAGCUGGGUUUAGAACGUCGUGAGACAGUUCGGUCCCUAUCUGCCGUGGGCGCUGGAGAACUGAGGGGGGCUGCUCCUAGUACGAGAGGACCGGAGUGGACGCAUCACUGGUGUUCGGGUUGUCAUGCCAAUGGCACUGCCCGGUAGCUAAAUGCGGAAGAGAUAAGUGCUGAAAGCAUCUAAGCACGAAACUUGCCCCGAGAUGAGUUCUCCCUGACCCUUUAAGGGUCCUGAAGGAACGUUGAAGACGACGACGUUGAUAGGCCGGGUGUGUAAGCGCAGCGAUGCGUUGAGCUAACCGGUACUAAUGAACCGUGAGGCUUAACCUU